CAUGCAAGUCGAACGAAGUAGCAAUACUUAGUGGCAGACGGGUGAGUAACAUGUGGGUAUCUGCCCUUUGGCCUGGAAUAACACGAGGAAACUUGUGCUAAUACCGGAUAAGUCUUUACGGAGAAAGCUUUAUGCACCAUUGGAUGAGCCCGCACUUGAUUAGUUUGUUGGUGGGGUAAUGGCCUACCAAGACUGUGAUCAAUAGCUGAUUUGAGAGGAUGAUCAGCCACAUUGGGACUGAGACACGGCCCAAACUCCUACGGGAGGCAGCAGUGGGGAAUCUUGCACAAUGGAGGAAACUCUGAUGCAGCGAUGCCGCGUGAGUGAAGAAGGCCCUUGGGUUGUAAAGCUCUUUCGUCGGGGAAGAAAAUGACUGUACCCGAAUAAGAAGGUCCGGCUAACUUCGUGCCAGCAGCCGCGGUAAUACGAAGGGACCUAGCGUAGUUCGGAAUUACUGGGCUUAAAGAGUUCGUAGGUGGUUGAAAAAGUUAGUGGUGAAAUCCCAGAGCUUAACUCUGGAACUGCCAUUAAAACUUUUCAGCUAGAGUAUGAUAGAGGAAAGCAGAAUUUCUAGUGUAGAGGUGAAAUUCGUAGAUAUUA
rnacentral:rRNA from 1 species